AUUGCCUUGACCCAGGUGCAGCACCUUGCACUUGGACUUGUUGAACCUCAUUAGGCUCACAUGAUCCCAUUUCACAAGCUUGUCCAGGUCCGUUUGGAUGGCACCCCUUCCUUCUGUUAUAUAAACUGCACCACUCAGUUUGGUGUCAUC